GAUGAACGCUGACAGAAUGCUUAACACAUGCAAGUCGAGGGGCAGCAUGAUCUUAGCUUGCUAAGGUCGAUGGCGACCGGCGCACGGGUGCGUAACGCGUAUGCAACUUGCCUUACAGAGGGGGAUAACCCGUUGAAAGACGGACUAAAACCGCAUACACUUGUAUUAUUGCAUGAUAUUACAAGGAAAUAUUUAUAGCUGUAAGAUAGGCAUGCGUCCCAUUAGCUGGUUGGUGAGGUAACGGCUCACCAAGGCGACGAUGGGUAGGGGAACUGAGAGGUUUAUCCCCCACACUGGUACUGAGACACGGACCAGACUCCUACGGGAGGCAGCAGUGAGGAAUAUUGGUCAAUGGGCGAGAGCCUGAACCAGCCAAGUCGCGUGAAGGAAGACAGUCCUAAGGAUUGUAAACUUCUUUUAUACGGGAAUAACGGGCGAUACGAGUAUUGCAUUGAAUGUACCGUAAGAAUAAGCAUCGGCUAACUCCGUGCCAGCAGCCGCGGUAAUACGGAGGAUGCGAGCGUUAUCCGGAUUUAUUGGGUUUAAAGGGUGCGUAGGUUGUUCGGUAAGUCAGCGGUGAAACCUGAGCGCUCAACGUUCAGCCUGCCGUUGAAACUGCCGGGCUUGAGUUCAGUGGCGGCAGGCGGAAUUCGUGGUGUAGCGGUGAAAUGCAUAGAUAUCACGAGGAACUCCGAUUGCGGAGGCAGCUUGCCAUACUGCGACUGACACUGAAGCACGAAGGCGUGGGUAUCAAACAGG
rnacentral:rRNA from 1 species